AGUGGUGGAGCUGUGCCUGAGCCACGGGCUGGGCCCGGUGGCCUUGGCCAACGAGCUCCUGGCCUUCGUCACCAGCAAAGACCUCGACCUCCAGCUCACCCCCGACGGCCUCGACGCCUUCGAGCACGAGGUCCUGGCCAAGAGGAACGUCCGGAGCCAGCGCAGGAAGGACAAGCCCAGGGGGGGACUCCACGACAUCCACUCCCUGCAGGAGCUCCUCGAUGAGGAAGAGGAGGACGAGCUGCUGGACGCCUACACCACGCCCUCCAAGGGCUCCCAAAA